UACGAAGGGGCUAGCGUUGCUCGGAAUCAUUGGGCGUAAAGAGCGCGCAGGCGGCUUGGCAAGUCGGGUGUGAAAUCCCCGGGGCUCAACCCCGUGACUGCAUCCGAUACUGUCAGGCUAGAGGUAGGUAGGGGAGAUCGGAAUUCCUGGUGUAGCGGUGAAAUGCGCAGAUAUCAGGAGGAACACCAGCGGCGAAGGCGGCGCUCUGGGCCGGUACUGACA
rnacentral:rRNA from 1 species